UUCGAGAGACGAAGACGAAAGGAGAGGAGAGAGAUGGAGAAAAUUCAUCGAGGAGUGGAAGAGAGACGAAACGGAUAAGGCUGAACGGCGAACAGGCCAGUGGAUGGAUCGGUAUAUUUCUGAGAGGCGGUACGAGUGGGUGGAGGAGGCGGCGAGGCUUCUUUCACGUCAGGAUAGUGAGCGAUCGACCAAAUCGCAGCGGAGACUGACGAGUUCCCUCGCGGCCGUCCUUGCCGAUGACGUCGGCCUCCGCGGCCUCAAAUCCGAUGGUCGCCAAGGUGUCGAUUGAUCGAUACGUUCCAGCGGACGGGUCGAGCUGCCAGAAUCGAGUCGCCUUCGACGAGGGAAUGAUCAAUUUGGUAUCUCUUAAUUCACGGACGAUAGACGUUGGAUCAUCGAUGACCCGGUCCGUGAAGCAGUUUUAAUCAACGAGAGACUGGUUUUAUCUUUUUCGAGAGUUUUACCAAGCUUACGUUUUAUCGUAUUAUAUCUCGAUUUUUUUCCAUCUGUCCACUACGGAAAAGAAGUAUAAUAUUAAUGAGAAGUGCCUGACAAUCUAUGCGUGACGUUGUUCCAUUGUGCAUAUACCCGUGCUUUGAGGAAUACUAUACAAUAAAUGAGUUUUAAUACUUUGGAAUUUUCAGAUUCUACUUCCACUUAAAAGUGAUUAUGAUAUACAAUACAUAUAAUAUAAUUAUUAAAUAAAUAACAUAUAUACAACUUCUUACUAAUUUAUGUAUUAAAG